rnacentral:rRNA from 1 species
CCAGACUCCUACGGGAGGCAGCAGUGGGGAAUAUUGCACAAUGGGCGCAAGCCUGAUGCAGCCAUGCCGCGUGUAUGAAGAAGGCCUUCGGGUUGUAAAGUACUUUCAGUCGGGAGGAAGGUGGUAAGGUUAAUAACCUUAUCAAUUGACAUUACCGACAGGAGAAGCACCGGCUAACUCCGUGCCAGCAGCCGCGGUAAUACGGAGGGUGCAAGCGUUAAUCGGAAUUACUGGGCGUAAAGCGCACGCAGGCGGUCUGUCAAGUCGGAUGUGAAAUCCCCGGGCUCAACCUGGGAACUGCAUUCGAAACUGGCAGGCUGGAGUCUUGUAGAGGGGGGUAGAAUUCCAGGUGUAGCGGUGAAAUGCGUAGAGAUCUGGAGGAAUACCGGUGGCGAAGGCGGCCCCCUGGACAAAGACUGACGCUCAGGUGCGAAAGCGUGGGGAGCAAACAGGAUUAGAUACCCCCAUACCG